UGGCCACUCUGUGAUCCCUUCUCUUCCAUUCUCCUCUUGGGAUCUUGGGCACGCAUGCGCACGCCGCGGCAUGCUUUACAAGCUGCCUGGUCCCGGAUUUCAUCAGUCCAGUCGGCCAUGCGGAUCCAGCUGCUUUAACCACCAGCACUGGCUGGCCCCGAAUUCCACAUGCUCUAGAAGCUCCGCGAGCUUUGGGCAAACUGGGAAGUGAUCAAGGACUGAAGUUUCCCGACCCUCCUUCCUGGUCUCUGCAGGGCUUCACUCUCCUUGCAGGGUCUGCAGCGUGUUGUUGAAACCUCUGCAAGGCUGUUUGCACACAUCCCUUUCCUGCAGCCAGCCGGGCACUGACGGACUCCCAGCCGGCGAUUGUUCAACGUGGAAGACGUGCUCCGGCAGCUCAGAGCCCAGGAAAGCGCCCUCUCCGCGCCCCGGCUCACCUGCCUCUGCAGAAGCUGCCUGCUUUGCUGUCCAUGGACUGAGGCUCUUCUCCACGCAGACCAUCGGCUGGGAGGUGUGAAAAGUCUGGAGUUCACCAGGAGCACCUUCAACACCCCUCACCAGAGCUUGGAGCUCUUGGGGAACAUCAUCAGUUGAAGUUUGAAAUCUGAACGAUAUACAUAGCUGUGAUGCAAACCUCGUUCUCUCAUGGAGACAUGAGCAUCCCAGAAAAUGCUGCUGCCUUCUCGGGAUAGACUGAACGCCAGCGUGAGCGAGAGGCUCCACGAUCCUCUCUGAAAUCGAUAAGGGCC